rnacentral:rRNA from 1 species
CAGCCGCCGCGGUAAUACGUAGGGUGCAAGCGUUAAUCGGAAUUACUGGGCGUAAAGCGUGCGCAGGCGGUUAUAUAAGACAGAUGUGAAAUCCCCGGGCUCAACCUGGGAACUGCAUUUGUGACUGUAUAGCUAGAGUACGGCAGAGGGGGAUGGAAUUCCGCGUGUAGCAGUGAAAUGCGUAGAUAUGCGGAGGAACACCGAUGGCGAAGGCAAUCCCCUGGGCCUGUACUGACGCUCAUGCACGAAAGCGUGGGGAGCAAACAGGAUUAGAUACCCGCGUAGUCCCUGUCUCUUACAC